GAGGGUGUAGCUCAAGCGGUAGCGUGCAUGCUUAGCAUGCACAAGGUCCUGGGUUCAAUUCCCAGCAACUCCU
rnacentral:tRNA from 1 species